rnacentral:rRNA from 1 species
CACCUACGGGAGGCAGCAGUGAGGAAUAUUGGUCAAUGGGCGGAAGCCUGAACCAGCCAAGUCGCGUGAGGGAAUAAGGCCCUACGGGUCGUAAACCUCUUUUGCCGGGGAGCAAGGGCCGGGACGAGUCCCGGUCCGGAGAGUACCCGGAGAAAAAGCAUCGGCUAACUCCGUGCCAGCAGCCGCGGUAAUACGGAGGAUGCGAGCGUUAUCCGGAUUUAUUGGGUUUAAAGGGUGCGUAGGCGGGCUUUUAAGUCAGCGGCAAAAAUUCGGGGCUCAACACCGCUCGGCCGUUGGAACUGGGG